rnacentral:rRNA from 1 species
AGAGGGUGCAAGCGUUAAUCGGAAUUACUGGGCGUAAAGGGCGCGUAGGUGGUUAUAUGAGUGAGAUGUGAAAGCCCCGGGCUUAACCUGGGAAUUGCAUCUUAUACUGUAUGACUGGAGUGCAAUAGAGGGUAGUGGAAUUUCCGGUGUAGCGGUGAAAUGCGUAGAUAUCGGAAGGAACACCAGUGGCGAAGGCGGCUACCUGGAUUGACACUGACACUGAGGCGCGAGAGCGUGGGGAGCAAACAGGAUUAGAUACCCUGGUAGUCCACGCCGUAAACGAUGAAAACUAGAUGUUGGUAGGCAUAGACCUAUCAGUAUCGAAGCUAACGCGAUAAGUUUUCCGCCUGGGGAGUACGGUCGCAAGAUUA